rnacentral:lncRNA from 1 species
GCAACUCCCUACCCAUAAUCAAUAUAACUGUCCAAACGGAGACACGGCCCCUCACACAGUCUCUCGUCUCUCAGCGAACCCAAACCCUAGCUGCCCUUACAUUCCAUCACCGCCUCCGCCGCAACCCGCCCACCCGAAAAUCGCCUCAGCCGAUAGUGCUCCAAUCACCCCAUAUUCACACCACAGAAUCCUCAUGACAUCCCCCGUCUCACUCUCCGACUAGCUCCCCUCGCAUCCCUGUAGACUUGUCCAAAUGUUAGAUCGAAAAUCCGAUCAAAACCCUAAUAUUUCUAAGUGACCCCAAAAUCACACCCCAUCAUCCUCGACCUUCCCUCAUCAUGUUUUCACCACUAAUUUCCCAAUAUCUACCAAAAACCCCCAAAUUUCAAAUCCGCGGAAAAGUCAGAAAUCCCUAGUUGAUUUGGUUUCAAAGCUCAGAAUUGUUCGAAAUGCAUGCUAGUCAGUUUUUUCUAGGCAAAAACAGCUAAUUAGCAUUAAUUUUGAUUCAUUUCGGAUAUUCAGACUCUGCAAUCAAUCCAGUCUUGUUUUUGAAUAUCUUUUCGACUUUUUUAGGUAAUUCUCUUUUCCCUCCUGCCUUCUUUUUUCUGAAUGCCAUCUUCAUCUCUUUUCCUCUAUAUUUAGUUCUUUGCAUAUAGUUUUAGUCAUUCUGUUUGAUUCACUCUAUUUGUCCAGUUUGUUCUACCUAAAUCAUUUUGUUCCUACUUUUUCGUUUCUUGUUUAGUUAGAUAUUUUCCCUUUUACUAUUUAGGUGUCAAUUUUUUUUUUGAUUGCUUGGUUCAUUUGAAUUUCAGUGGAAUAAGUUUAUUUAGUUAUUUGAUUUAAUAAAAUUCGGGGCAUUUAGGUUAAUUAAAUCAUGAUUAAAACUAAAGUUUGUUUUAAAUUGAUUCCACUGUCAAUUUGGCCGCAUGGUUAAGUUCUGUUUUUCUGUUUCCCAAGUUUCACUGCUUGUGCAUAGGUUUAAUAAUUUUUCUUUGAAUUUCAUGCUAGUAUUAGGAUUAAUGCUUUCAUCAGUGUUUGUCUCAUUUAUGUUAAAUUAGGUUUAAAUUAUUUCUUUUGUAUUGGAUUUAUUUUUCAGAUUAUGCUCAUGCAAAUUGAUUUUAUUUUUAGUUUAAAGUUUGUUUGCUCAAUAGUCUCUUCUUUGAUCUUUUCGUGUGUACUGAUUUUGGCCUUAGGAUGUUAGUUCUGAUUCGUCCACAAUUACGAACUCUAGGGACCUAAGUGAACAAAGAAAUUUUAGGCAAAGGCUGUAAUAAGCAAGCUUUAGAAGAUCAUUUGAGGUUUUUAAAAUUUUGAAAAUAUUAGAACACUCUAGAAACAGAGGCAACUGGCCUCAUUUGGUUAGUACAAAAGUACUGUAACUAUUAUCUUUUGAAAAGACGAGAUCUCAGAAAACUUAUAAAGCCUUCAAAAAAAACCUCCUUUUUCUUUGGGAUUCUACUGAAAACAUGGCCUGAAGUAGAAGGUUUUUCUCGAGUUUGGGUGGAAUCUCUGGUGUCAAUAUUGCUGGGAUUUUUUUGUUUCGGAAUUUUGGUUCAUAUGCUCCAUUCUGUUGUUCCAUCUUUGGAUUCUCAACGUAUUUGUUUUGCUGAGUCUCAUUUUUCAAGGUACUGCUUCAGAUCUCCUAUGUAGUCUCCUUGUACAUAAGUUAUAAAAUUGUCAAAAUUUUCAAAGAUAUGUGUAAUGAAUGAGUGUUAUUUUGAUAUUGUUUGAUUAAUCUUUGACUUUAUAUAGUAUGAUUGCAAGUGUAUUAACAUGAGAAUUUGUGUGUUUUUUAUGAUAUAGUCAUUUAGCAUGUUAAAAUGUGGAUUUGCAUGAGCUGAAAAUAUUUGUUGUUGUCUUUUACCUUAACUCUUUCAGAUGUAUUUCAUGUUUUUCUUGCUUAUCAGUUAUUUAGAAUAAUGCUGGCCUGGUUUAAAGUUAAGUAGGCCAUAACUUGUAGAUUUGGCCAUUGAUGAGGCAUGUGUUAAGGCCUAAAUUCAUAUAUGCAUCACUAAAAGUGUGCUAAAAUCUUUAUGUUAUGAUUGUUGUUUGAAUAUGAGAAUUGUUGUGAGGCUGUUAGCUAAUUUGAGGCUUAGUACCUGCAGAUUUGGUUGAUAAUUGGCCAAGUCAGUAGUUUCAAAAGCUAACAUUUGGACAUUGCUGUUUGAACACAAGAAGGGACUAAACUCUAAUAGACAAAUCAAGUCCAAAAGAGCCCAGAUUCUUUAGGAUAUCAGUUAUGCAAAAUUUGUAGUAGACUAGUUAUUUAGCACAUUUUUCAUGUAUUUUAAUAGGUUGCAGUAUAUUGAUUCUGAGAUUUGUUUUACAUGACUGUAAUAAUCUAAGAUUUCAAUUUCAUACACUGAUAUUUCAAACAAUAACAUGAAGAGAAUAUUUGGAUAUUAUCACAUUUUCUUAUCAUAAGUAUAGUGGGCAAUUGGGCCAAACCUGGAGAUAAGACAAUAUGAAAAUGGGUCUUGACAGGUCUGGUCCUAGACCAUUUGGGUUUAGGCCUUCAACCAAUGGACUUGGCUUAAUUUUAAGGCUUCUUCUUUGAUCCAUAGUAUGAAUUUAUGGUCUUUAUGUUAUUUUUAUUCUG